rnacentral:rRNA from 1 species
GGACUACCCGGGUAUCUAAUCCUGUUUGCUCCCCACGCUUUCGCGCCUCAGCGUCAGUAACGGGCCAGUGUGUCGCCUUCGCCACUGGUGUUCUUCCGAAUAUCUACGAAUUUCACCUCUACACUCGGAGUUCCACACACCUCUCCCGUACUCUAGGUGUCCAGUAUCAAAGGCAGUUCCAGAGUUGAGCUCUGGGAUUUGACCCCUGACUUAAACACCCGCCUACGCGCCCUUUACGCCCAGUAAUUCCGAGCAACGCUAGCCCCCUUCGUAUUACCGCGGCUGCUGGCAC